rnacentral:rRNA from 1 species
UACGUAGGGGGCAAGCGUUGUCCGGAUUUAUUGGGCGUAAAGAGCGUGUAGGCGGCCAGGUAGGUCUGCUGUGAAAACUCGAGGCUCAACCUCGAGACGUCGGCGGAAACCAUCUGGCUAGAGUCCGGAAGAGGAGAGUGGAAUUCCUGGUGUAGCGGUGAAAUGCGCAGAUAUCAGGAAGAACACCCGUGGCGAAGGCGGCUCUCUGGGGACGGUACUGACGCUGAGACGCGAAAGCGUG